UAUCUCCCUCCCUCCCUCCCUCCCUCCCUCCCUCCCUAUCCCAGACUCAGAGAUCUGCCUGCCUGCUCCAUUUUGAUUUUUUUUUUUUUAACUGAUAUGUAAUGUCUAGGUAAAGGUUGAGCAUGUUACCUUUCUCUUUUUUCUCUCCCCGCCAUCAUAACAGUGUGCGGCGGUGCUUGCUUGCUUGCUCGCUCGCUCCUCGAGGGUUCCCUGACCACCCUGGCGAACAGGACAGGACGGAGGCGAGAAUCAAAGGCACGGCCAGAAAGAGGAGUUUGAGGUGUGGGACUGCUAUGCCCCGGCACAGUCAGCUGGACUGACUGACUGCCCUCCUUCUCGAGGCGGGACGCAAUCACGCAUACAAACAAAAGACUACCUCUUUCCAGCAGAAGAAGAUGGCCCUUCCUUCCUCUUCCUCUUGACUCACAGGUGGUACUCUAUCUACCUGCUUCCCAGCCCACCUGAGCCACCCCCCCCCCUUCACUUUACGCUCAAUUACAAUAAAUAAAUGAAUGACUACGAA